CAGCAGCCACGGUAAUACGAGGGGGGCAAGCGUUGUUCGGAAUUAUUGGGCGUAAAGGGCGCGUAGGCGGUUUGACAAGUCUUGUGUGAAAUCUCUGGGCUCAACCCAGAGUCUGCACGGGAAACUGUCGGGCUAGAGGAUGGGAGAGGUGAGUGGAAUUUCCGGUGUAGCGGUGAAAUGCGUAGAUAUCGGAAGGAACACCUGUGGCGAAAGCGGCUCACUGGACCAUUACUGACGCUGAGGCACGAAAGCGUGGGGAGCAAACAGGAUUAGAUACCCCAGUAGUCCCUGUCUCUUAUAC
rnacentral:rRNA from 1 species